ACUUCACCUGGAGACUACAUUAAACAUUUAUGGCUUAAAGAUGAGUAUGCGUCCUAUUAGUUAGUUGGUAAGGUAACGGCUUACCAAGACCGCGAUAGGUAGGGGUCCUGAGAGGGAGAUCCCCCACACUGGUACUGAGACACGGACCAGACUCCUACGGGAGGCAGCAGUGAGGAAUAUUGGACAAUGGAGGCAACUCUGAUCCAGCCAUGCCGCGUGCAGGAAGACGGCCCUAUGGGUUGUAAACUGCUUUUAUACGGGAAGAACCACAUCUACGUGUAGAUGCUUGACGGUACCGUAUGAAUAAGGACCGGCUAACUCCGUGCCAGCAGCCGCGGUAAUACGGAGGGUCCAAGCGUUAUCCGGAAUCAUUGGGUUUAAAGGGUCCGUAGGCGGAAUAAUAAGUCAGUGGUGAAAGUCUGCAGCUCAACUGUAGAAUUGCCAUUGAUACUGUUAUUCUUGAAUUAUUAUGAAGUGGUUGGAAUGAGUAGUGUAGCGGUGAAAUGCAUAGAUAUUACUCAGAACACCUAUUGCGAAGGCAGAUCACUAAUAAUAUAUUGACGCUGAGGGACGAAAGCGUAGGUAGCGAACAGGAUUAGAUACCCUGGUAGUCUACGCCGUAAACGAUGGUUACUAGCUGUCCGGCCUAAUUGAGGGCUGGGUGGUUAAGCGAAAGUGAUAAGUAACCCACCUGGGGAGUACGUUCGCAAGAAUGAAACUCAAAGGAAUUGACGGGGGCCCGCACAAGCGGUGGAGCAUGUGGUUUAAUUCGAUGAUACGCGAGGAACCUUACCAGGGCUUAAAUGCAGUCUGACAGGCGUGGAAACAUGCCCUUCUUCGGACAGAUUGCAAGGUGCUGCAUGGUUGUCGUCAGCUCGUGCCGUGAGGUGUCAGGUUAAGUCCUAUAACGAGCGCAACCCCUGUUGUUAGUUGCCAGCGAGUCAUGUCGGGAACUCUAACGAGACUGCCGGUGCAAACCGCGAGGAAGGUGGGGAUGACGUCAAAUCAUCACGGCCCUUACGUCCUGGGCCACACACGUGCUACAAUGGUAGGGACAGAGGGCAGCUACCCCGCGAGGGGAUGCGAAUCUUCAAACCC
rnacentral:rRNA from 1 species